AGAUUGGAGAAGAUGAAACUUCCUAUUAUUUUGCUUGGUUUAUUGAUGACCAUGCAAACGUCAGCAAGUAACAGUGAUAGAAUGUUAUGGGAAAAACUGUAUGAAUCAACAUCAUCUUCUACUUCAGAGAGUAAAGACUGUCUGGUAGGAGCUGAUGUUGUUUUCCUGUUAGAUAUCGACAAACCUUCAAGCUUCAAGGUCAUAAAACCAUUCAUGAUGAAAGUCAUGGAUAAAUUCAGUAAUGUGGGACCAACAGGGGUACAAUUUGCUGUCCUUUCAGCUACCGAGGAGGAUAAUUUCUAUUUUGACGAGUAUUCUAAUGUUGAAGGAUAUAAAGCUGCUGUGCGAUCAUUAAAUCCUCAACGCAAUGGUACUGUUUACCUUGCUGCCUUUAUGCAGGACAUAAAAGAUCACUAUUUCUCCGGAGGACAUGGCGGGGGACGACCUUGUGCUGAAAAGUUUAUAUUCAUCCUCACUGAUAGCAGAUCUAGUACACAAACAGAUACGACAAAGAUAGUUUCAGAUUUGCAAGUAUCUGGAGUGACUAUUUAUGGAAUAAGAAUUGGUGACGUUAGUAAGACGAUAUUAGAAAAAAAUGUCGAGCUUUGUCUUUGAAAUACAGGAUCCAGUAGCAGUCGAAACAUUUGUCAAGUCAGUGUGUGGAAGUACUUUGUGCAAGCAUCCACGAAAAGAACCAAGAG